rnacentral:rRNA from 1 species
UACGGAGGGUGCAAGCGUUGUCCGGAAUCACUGGGCGUAAAGGGCGCGUAGGCGGCUCAUGAAGGCUGUGGUGAAAGUCCGGGGCUCAACCUCGGAUCGGCCGUGGCGACUCGUGGGCUGGAGCACUGUAGAGGCGGGUGGAAUUCCGGGUGUAGCAGUGAAAUGCGUAGAGAUCAUGAGGAAGACCAGUGGCGAAGGCGGGUCUCUGGACAGUUCCUGACGCUGAGGCACGAAGGCCAGGGGAGCAAACGGG